rnacentral:rRNA from 1 species
GGGUCAGUAGGUUGGUCGUGCUACCGGUACGUACUGGUCUCACUGAUUCCUCCUUCCUGAAGAGCCGUAAUGCCAUUAAUUUGGUGUUGCGGGGAAACAGGACUUUUACUUUGAAAAAAUUAGAGUGUUUAAAGCAAGCUAACGCUUGAAUACAUUAGCAUGGAAUAAUGAAAUAGGACGAUCGAUCCUAUUUUGUUGGUUUCUAGGAUUGACGUA